ensembl:misc_RNA
CUGACCGCAACGGAGAAUAAAAUGCUUUAUUUAGCCACAGAACAGGUACAGCUCUGGCAGCAUCAGUGAAGGUUUCCCCACACUGCCUCAUCAAUAAGCUUCAGACUUGAACUGGAAGGAUUAUUCCUCUAGAUGAUGUGAUAGUUUUUGUCUAUAUCAUCUGAUGAUUGCAUCU